AGGAAUUUAGGUUAACUAUAGACCCAGAGCCUUCAAAGCCCUAAGUAAGUAAUCACACUUAAUUCCUG
rnacentral:tRNA from 1 species